rnacentral:rRNA from 1 species
GACGAACGCUGGCGGCGUGCUUAACACAUGCAAGUCGAGCGGUAAGGCCCUUUGGGGUACACGAGCGGCGAACGGGUGAGUAACACGUGAGUAAUCUGCCUUUGGCUUGGGAAUAACUUCGGGAAAUCGGGGCUAAUGCCUGAUGUUUACUGUCUGCUGCAUGGUGGGUGGUGGAAAGAUUUUUUGGCCGAGGAGUGAGCUCGCGGUCUAUCAGCUUGUUGGUGGGGUAAGUGGCGUUACC